rnacentral:rRNA from 1 species
UGAGUAACCUGCCCUUAACUCUGGGAUAAGCCUGGGAAACUGGGUCUAAUACCGGAUAUGACUCCUCAUCGCAUGGUGGGGGGUGGAAAGCUUUUUGUGGUUUUGGAUGGACUCGCGGCCUAUCAGCUUGUUGGUGAGGUAACGGCCCACCAAGGCGACGACGGGUAGCCGGCCUGAGAGGGUGACCGGCCACACUGGGACUGAGACACGGCCCAGACUCCUACGGGAGGCAG